UGUGUUGAGGUUAGCAUGUGAUAUGCGUGUUGAGGUUAGCGUGUGUGUUGAGGUUAGCGUGUCAUAUGCGUGUUGAGGUUAGCGUGUGUGUUGAGGUUAACGUUUCAUAAGUGUGUUGAGGUUAGCAUGUCAUAUGCGUGUUGAGGUUAGCGUGUGUGUUGAGGUUAGCGUGUCAUAUGUGUGUUGAGAUUAGCAUGUCAUGUGUGUCGAGAUUAGCGUGUCAUAUGUGUGUUGAGGUUAGCAUGUCAUAUGCGUGUUGAGGUUAGCAUGUCAUAUGCGUGUUGAGGUUAGCGUGUCAUAUGCGUGUUGAGGUUAGCGUGUCAUGUGUGUUGAGGUUAGUGUGUCAUAUGCGUGUUGAGGUUAGCGUGUCAUGCGUGUUGAGGUUAGCUUGUCAUGCGUGUUGAGGUGAGUGUGUCAUAUGUGUGUUGAGAUUAGCAUGUCAUAUGUGUGUUGAGGUUAGCGUGUCAUAUGCGUGUUGAGGUUAGCGUGUCAUGUGUGUUGAGAUUAGCGUGUCAUGUGUGUUGAGAUUAGCGUGUCAUGUGUGUUGAGAUUAGCGUGUCAUAUGUGUGUUGAUAUUAGCAUGUCAUAUGUGU